GGAACAAUGUAGGCAAGGUAAAUCAGCAAAACGGAUCCAUAACUUCGGGAAAAUGAUUGGCUCUGAGGACUGGCUCGGGGGUCCAGGCUGCGAACCCGUCGGCUGUCGGCGGAUUGCUCAAGCUGCUCACGCGAUGAGAGCGGGUCGCCGCAUGUCGGCCGGGGGACGGACCGGGAAUCGCCCUUCGGGGGCUUUCCUCGAGCAUGAAACGGUCGACUCAUAACUGGUACAGACAAAGGGAAUCCGACUGUUUAAUUAAAACAAAGCAUUGCGAUAGUCCUCCCAGGUGCUGACGCAAUGUAAUUUCUGUCUAGUGCUCUGAAUGUCAAAGUAAAAAAAAAUCCAACCAAGCAUGGGUAAACGGCGGAAGUAACUAUGACUUUCUUAAUGUAGCCAAACACCUCGUAAUCUAAUUAGUGACGGGCAUGAAUUGACGAAAUUCCUACUAUCCUAUCUACUAACC
rnacentral:ncRNA from 2 species